AGAUUGAACGCUGGCGGCAUGCCUUACACAUGCAAGUCGAACGGCAGCACGGGAGCAAUCCUGGUGGCGAGUGGCGAACGGGUGAGUAAUACGUCGGAACGUGCCCAAUCGUGGGGGGAUAACGCAGCGAAAGCUGUGCUAAUACCGCAUAAGAUCUACGGAUGAAAGCAGGGGAUCGCAAGACCUUGCGACGAAUGGAGCGGCGAGUGGCAGAGUUAGGUAGUUGGUAGAAGGUAAAGGCUACACC
rnacentral:rRNA from 1 species